UUUUAGUCUUUUCCUUUACCUCUCAUUUCAAUACAGAAUAUCUCUGUUUCCAUUUUUGUUCCUUAAGCAUGUUGUGCUUGGGCGUUUCUCGGUUUGUUUUGGGUAUUUUGCAUUGGGUUUAUUUGCUUUUUUUUCCUGAGUUUUUCAUGUAGAGAUUUCGAUAUGGGUAUUUUUUGUGCAGGUUUUAGGGUUUUGUCAACAGAUUCUUUUCUUGAACUUGAACUUAUUUCAGUAAUUUUUUAGCUACUUUGAUAGGCGUAACUGUCAUAGCUAACUGACUUAAAACUAGUCAAAGCUGUCAAUCCAAAUUAAAAGAUUCUUUUUAUGAUCGACACAUAACUUUCCUUUGAAUUCUACUAGAUUACUGGUAUCAUUUAAAGUAGAAAUUCUUCUAUUUGAUCUGUUUCUAAUUUUUGUUUGUUCCACACUCCUUAUAUUGUGGUCAAUCAGAUCAAGUGAAUUGUUAUUUACAUUAGAAAGAGACAAAAUUGACAAAGACUUAGUUGAUGAUGCAAGUAUUGAUGAGGGGCAAUGAAUCUCCGGAGCCAUGUUUGCAAUUUUAUCUUAUGCAAUCGUUGAAUGUUAAACAGGCUUCUUCAUGUUUUAAAGAUGAACUUUCAGGGCUCAGAAACCAUGAAUUUUCCCCUGAAUUUGGGAUUGUGCUAGAUGCUGAUCAUCUUGAUGCAAUUGGUGCUAUAGAAACAGAGUUCUUCAUGAUCCUGCCAUCCAGCCACGAUCAGACUUAUCCAAGGAAUGGUACAUGAAGAAAGAGGAGCAGAUCAUGAGAAGCUUCUCAAGUUAAAGGAUUUGAUGAAAACUAAGGCUGGGCAAAGGAGGGCCAAGAAAAGGCACAAGCUCAUGGAGGAAUUCCUUAAAGAACUUUAUAAGGAUUGGGAUAGGAAGGCUUGAAUGAAGUGAUAUUUCUCCACCUAGAUACAGUAUAAUUGCUUAUCAGAAGGCAGUCUUGAAAACAUUAUGAAUGUUGAUAAUUUUCAGAAUUUGGACAGAACUUUUGGUGGGAAAAUAGUAUUAUUAGGAGGUGAUUUCCAACAAUUUUACCAAUUGUCCCAUCUGGAUCAAAAAAUUGUCUUAAGAAUCAUAAAUUUUGUGUACUUUGACCAAUUACAAUUGCAAUUUUUUGGACAAAUGGUCUGCAAAUGUAAAAAAUAGUACACAAAUUGUUGCUUGGCAACUUACAUGCAUAGGAACAGAGCUGAAGAGGGAAUAUCAUAUGAGCUUUUCUUUUUUUCUGAAAUUUCAAUAUGUGAUAGAUAAAAACAGGGUGAGCCUGAGCUCCCCACCAAUAUGAGUUUUUCUAAUCAUGGCUCUAACUGCACUUAUGAGCUAAUACAUGUAAUUGAUUUUGUAUCAA
rnacentral:sRNA from 10 species